rnacentral:siRNA from 1 species
UGGCGAUGAUGAAAAAAAGGCCG